rnacentral:rRNA from 1 species
UACGUAGGGGGCGAGCGUUGUCCGGAUUUAUUGGGCGUAAAGAGCGUGUAGGCGGCCAGGUAGGUCUGCUGUGAAAACUCGAGGCUCAACCUCGAGACGUCGGCGGAAACCAUCUGGCUAGAGUCCGGAAGAGGAGAGUGGGAUUCCUGGUGUAGCGGUGAAAUGCGCAGAUAUCAGGAGGAACACCGGUGGCGAAGGCGGAUCUCUGGGCCUUACCUGACGCUGAGGCGCGAAAGCUAGGGGAGCGAACAGG